rnacentral:sRNA from 1 species
CUGGAAUACUAACGAUGUCUAUAUCGUAUCUGUCGUUAAUCUUGUUUCAACUGUUGUCUCUGUGGACGUGGAGAUCAAAUGCAGUCUGGAUACUGCAAUAAAGAUGUGUGUGGAAAAAAACCUCCUCCGCCCUGCUGUAUAGAUCACAAAUGUAGGCAAUGUUCUGCAAGCAUAUGUGGAGGUUUAAACAAGGCUAACCCCUGUUGUGGAACUGGACACUGCAAUAUUUUCUGCUGCAAUUGUUAUGGGGAUUGUUGGCCUGGAGAUCCAUAUAAGGAUUUUUAUAAGGUACACGCUGAUCGGCUAAUCCGCAAUUAGCAAAUAAAUUUAAAUAAAAACAAAUAAGAAAGCUGUAGUCGAGACUGCUCGACUACGAUAUGCCCUAAA